GACGAACGCUGGCGGCGUGCCUAAUACAUGCAAGUAGAACGCUGAAGGAGGAGCUUGCUUCUCUGGAUGAGUUGCGAACGGGUGAGUAACGCGUAGGUAACCUGCCUGGUAGCGGGGGAUAGCUAUUGGAAACGAUAGCUAAUACCGCAUAAUAGUAGAUGUUGCAUGACAUUUGCUUAAAAGGUGCAAUUGCAUCACUACCAGAUGGACCUGCGUUGUAUUAGCUAGUUGGUGAGGUAACGGCUCACCAAGGCGACGAUACAUAGCCGACCUGAGAGGGUGAUCGGCCACACUGGGACUGGGACACGGCCCAGACUCCUACGGGAGGCAGCAGUAGGGAAUCUUCGGCAAUGGACGGAAGUCUGACCGAGCAACGCCGCGUGAGUGAAGAAGGUUUUCGGAUCGUAAAGCUCUGUUGUAAGGGAAGAACGAGUGUGAGAGUGGAAAGUUCACACUGUGACGGUAUCUUACCAGAAAGGGACGGCUAACUACGUG
rnacentral:rRNA from 1 species